UUAACCCAUACUCUAACCUGAAUGCAGGGAUCAUAAAACUUUAUCUUUUACCUUAAUUGUUAGAUGGGUGUUGAUACCAAACUUUUUUUCUCGUCUACCCAGGAGAAAGUCAUGGGUUCUGCUGCUAAGGUUGUCAUAAACGUCUUUUAUUCUGCUUACCUGACUCAUGCAGAAUUCUGGCUUGAUGUUUGGUCCACCUGUUAGCUGGCUCUGGUGCUUGGUAGUCUUCUCAAACCUCUGAAUCAAGACCACCAUGAGAGGCCUUCUGAAGACCAUCAUUACGCUUCAGAUCCAGUUGUCUUUACUAUGAGCCUACCACAAUCCCUGUGCACCAGCUAUGGAAAGUGCAGACCAAGCUUCUACCUCCACCUGUGAGUCUCUUCCCAUAUUUGGUAAA